rnacentral:rRNA from 1 species
UACAGAGGGUGCGAGCGUUGUCCGGAAUCACUGGGCGUAAAGGGCGCGUAGGCGGCUCAGUAAGGUUGCGGUGAAAGCCCGGGGCUCAACCCCGGGUCGGCCGUGGCAACUGCUGGGCUGGAGCACUGUAGAGGCAGGUGGAAUUCCGGGUGUAGCGGUGGAAUGCGUAGAGAUCCGGAAGAACACCGGUGGCGAAGGCGGCCUGCUGGGCAGUAGCUGACACUGAGGCGCGACAGCGUGGGGAGCAAACAGG